ACUUGGCGUUACCAGAGCCACAAACAGCAGCUGUUAGACAAAGGAUAAUAAACUGCAUAAAAUGUCUCAACUGAAGGGUCAAACCCAGAAAGCAGAAAAGGAAAAAUAAACUACACAGCACCAACCAGUGAAAUACAACCAAAUACGAACAAAGAUAAGGACAUACACACUGGAAUGGUAAUGGAGUUGGAAGAUGAGCUUGGCCACUAUGGAAACACUUCUGAUGGGGAGUGGGAGGAAGAUAACAUUGAGGAAUAUGUGACAACUGACACAGGGACAGAUCCACAUAGUAUCUUUAUUACUGUUUGCUGUGCGUUUAUAUUUAUUAUUAGCAUAGUUGGAAACAUUGUUGUGCUUUUCAUUCGCACAUCAAGAGUCUAUAAUUUACUGGACAGAAUUAAGUUGUUGAUUACGAUUUCUAAUCUAAUUUUCACUCUGACUCUGCCAUUCUGGGCUGCUGUUUCCAAUGGCAACUGGGUCAUGGGAAAGGUGUCAUGCAAGCUUUUGACUGGAAUGUAUUGU